rnacentral:rRNA from 1 species
UACGGAGGAUGCAAGCGUUAUCCGGAAUGAUUGGGCGUAAAGCGUCCGCAGGUGGCUGUGUAAGUCUGCUGUUAAAGAGUGAGGCUCAACCUCAUAAAGGCAGUGGAAACUACAUGGCUAGAGUGCGUUCGGGGCAGAGGGAAUUCCUGGUGUAGCGGUGAAAUGCGUAGAGAUCAGGAAGAACACCGGUGGCGAAAGCGCUCUGCUAGGCCGCAACUGACACUGAGGGACGAAAGCUAGGGGAGCGAAUGGG